rnacentral:rRNA from 1 species
GUGGGGAAUAUUGGACAAUGGGCGCAAGCCUGAUCCAGCCAUGCCGCGUGUGUGAAGAAGGCCUUAGGGUUGUAAAGCACUUUCAGUGGGGAGAAAGGUGAUUCACCUAAUACGUGAGUCAAUUGAUGCUACCCACAGAAGAAGCACCGGCUAACUCCGUGCCAGCAGCCGCGGUAAUACGGAGGGUGCAAGCGUUAAUCGGAAUUACUGGGCGUAAAGCGCACGUAGGUGGUUUGUUAAGCCAGCUGUGAAAUCCCCGGGCUCAACCUGGGCACUGCAGUUGGAACUGGCAAGCUAGAGUAGGGUAGAGGGGUGUGGAAUUCCAGGUGUAGCGGUGAAAUGCGUAGAUAUCUGGAGGAACAUCAGUGGCGAAGGCGACACCCUGGACUCAUACUGACACUGAGGUGCGAAAGCGUGGGGAGCAAACAGG